GCGAGCACGCACAGCACCGGGGCAGUCCGCCAACCAAAGCGGUUAUUGUUUCGCUUCGUUUUACUCCUGGAUUAUUUACUGCGCAAAGAGGGGGGGAAAAAAAAAAGAAAAGAAAAGAAAAUCAAAACUUGGAGGAGUUGUAGUUUCUUUCGUUCUGCAAAUUGUGCCGAUGUACUGUGUCUAAUACAUUUAAAACGGAAAACAAAAAAAAAAAGUUACUGGUGAAAUUAUAAAAAUAUAACAACAAUAAUAAUACUAUGCGGCAGUUCGAUUUAAUCGUUACACAGUGGAUCGAGGAAAAUACUGUUCAUUAAGGACACAGCGACAACAGCAACAUCAGUUACAACAGUUACAACAAGAACAAGAGCAACAAGCAUCGACGACGACAGUAAUUAUUGUGCACUCGAAACGUAGGAUGUGAAUACGAAUCUAUGUAUUCGCGCGGUACAUACUUUCCUCAACAGAUGAGAAAACACAGCACAGUUCAACAGAUCGUACAAAUCUACCGCCUUCUAAAACAAGCCACAUUAACCUCAAGUGAUUUCUAUUUUCUUACGAAACGCGAAAGAAUGAAUUAGUGUGUGUAUACAUGUUGUAAUCUUGUAUUUCAAGAGCUUAGGGUUCAGAGAAGAUUUCAAGAAGAAAGUAAACGAGACGAAAAUAAA
rnacentral:lncRNA from 1 species